GGGCCCGCACAAGCGGCGGAGCAUGCGGCUUAAUUCGAUGCAACGCGAAGAACCUUACCUACACUUGACAUCCUCGGAACUUUCUAGAGAUAGAUUGGUGCCUUCGGGAACCGAGUGACAGGUGCUGCAUGGCUGUCGUCAGCUCGUGUCGUGAGAUGUUGGGUUAAGUCCCGUAACGAGCGCAACCCUUAUCCUUAAUUGCCAGCGGUUCGGCCGGGAACUCUAAGGAGACUGCCGAUGACAAAUCGGAGGAAGGUGGGGACGACGUCAAGUCAUCAUGGCCCUUACGUGUAGGGCUACACACGUGCUACAAUGGCCGGUACAAACGGUUGCGAACCUGCAAAGGG
rnacentral:rRNA from 1 species